rnacentral:rRNA from 1 species
UGGGGAAUUUUGGACAAUGGGCGCAAGCCUGAUCCAGCAAUGCCGCGUGAGUGAAGAAGGCCUUCGGGUUGUAAAGCUCUUUUGUCAGGGAAGAAACGGUCGAGGCUAAUACCUUUGGCUAAUGACGGUACCUGAAGAAUAAGCACCGGCUAACUACGUGCCAGCAGCCGCGGUAAUACGUAGGGUGCAGGCGUUAAUCGGAAUUACUGGGCGUAAAGCGUGCGCAGGCGGUUUGCUAAGACAGGUGUGAAAUCCCCGGGCUUAACCUGGGAACUGCGCUUGUUACUGGCAGGCUUGAGUGUGGCAGAGGGGGGUGGAAUUCCACGUGUAGCAGUGAAAUGCGUAGAGAUGUGGAGGAACACCGAUGGCGAAGGCAGCCCCCUGGGCUAACACUGACGCUCAUGCACGAAAGCGUGGGGAGCAAAC